ACGCUCGACACCUACGGGAGGCUGCAGUGGGGAAUAUUGCGCAAUGGGGGAAACCCUGAUGCAGCGACGCCGCGUGAGCGAAGAAGUAUUUCGGUAUGUAAAGCUCUAUCAGCAGGGAAGAAAAUGACGGUACCUGACUAAGAAGCCCCGGCUAACUACGUGCCAACAGCCGCGGUAAUCUGAGCGGGCUGGCAAGGC
rnacentral:rRNA from 1 species